rnacentral:lncRNA from 1 species
UUAGCUGAAAAGACGUAAAGGCAGUCAGCCCAGUGGUGUUUCUGGAGAGGGAUUCCUUCAGAAAUGGAGAAGACAGAAAGCUGCGGAGGCAGAUAUUUGCAGCAGUCUAAAAUAUCGAGCUCAACAGCUAUUUUAAGAGCCAACCCUCACAAACCUUCCUAAAACCUAAAAGAGCUAUUACUGAGUCUCAGCGAAUCUUGCCACGAUCAGCUCUUCCCAGAAGAGAAGGAAGACCAAGGAUAUGAUUUGCUCAGGAUGAGGAAUGAAGAUGGCCAUCUUGAGCUCAAACAAACAGAAGUCCUCUGAUGAUCUCAUCAGCCAAAUGAGGGGUUUUGACCAAGUGAUGCUCUUGAAAGGAGUGAAAGAAGAGGAUGUGGUAAAUUGUCUUCAGAGAAAAGCUUCUCAAAAGAUCUUAAAACAGCUUGAAGAAUGGUCUGGGAUCUUAGGACUGAGAGAUCAUCUGGCUGAGAACAAGCUACACCACAUCAGUGCUGGAUAUCAACCACAAACUGUUUCCAGACACGAGAGAAGAAGAUCACGAUGGGGAGAUGAAACCAGUUUAGAUGUGAUGAUGGGAAUCAUUAUUUUCUGAAACAGUAUCACAUGUCUUAUAUGUAUCACAUGAUCUGUAUCACAGUUGACUGGAUGGGACUGUGUGACUUUUAAGGACAUUUCAUCACUCAUCUGUGUGAACUGAUUUAUAUAUGAGGUUAAUGUAUCUUUGAUGAUAAUUAUUUUCAUUGAAUCUUAUUUGUCUUGAUGCUACUUUAUCAACUUUAUAGUCUAUGCUUCAAUAAAAUGAAAAUGGUGAAUAUUGUGUUCUGAAGAUUCUUGGUAAAUACAUCAUUUUACUAGGUAGGCUCAUAUGUGUUUAUUUUAGACUUGGAAAAACGACAUAUUAAUUAUUGGGAUUAUUUUUUUAUUUAAGACAUGCACAUUUUUGAUCGGAUUAAUAACAUCUGGGACAUCAGUACACCAGAAAGUAAUUUUUUAUAUUUUAGUAACAAAUAUGCACAUUUUUUGUGAAAUACAGGGAGUUACAAGAUUAAUUAUUCUGCAUUACAAGAUGGUGCCAUGGGCUUUAUUGUUACAAACACUUGAGGGAUAACUGAGAGUAGCAGGAAUGAUCAACAUGGAUCUUGUACUGUAUUCAAACCCAAGA